GUCACUCUGCUGAAGGAAYUAACAUUUGAGUAGGAGCAGUAUACCUGACUGUACAAAGGUARCAUAAUCAAUUGUCUUUUAAUUGAAGAAUGGAAUGAAAGAUUUAAUGAAAUAUAUAUUGUCUCUAGUAUAAAAAAUGAAUUAAAUUUUUAGUAAAAAUGCUGAAAUUAAAUUAUGGGACGGUAAGACCCUGUAGAACUUUAUAUUAAUAUUUUAAUAUUAUUAUUUAAUUUUUAAAAUAUUAUUAAUAUUUGAUUGGGAGGAGUAAUAAAUUUAAUGAACUUUAUUUAAUUAUUUAAACUUUAAUUUAAGAAAUUUAAUUUGAUAUAAUAUUAUUAAGAUAAGAAUAAAUUACCUUAGGGAUAACAGCGUAAUAUCUUUUUAGAGUUCAUAUUAAUAAAGAUGUUUGCGACCUCGAUGUUGAAUUAAGAUAAAUUUCAAAUGAAGAAAUUCAAGUAUUAAGUCUGUUCGACUUUUGAAAUCUUACAUGAUUUGAGUUC
rnacentral:rRNA from 1 species